AAUCCUGAGAGUGUCCCAAGAAGAAAGAGAUCAGAGCGUAGAAAACACAUUUUGUCACCUGUUGAAAGACUCUAGAGGCAACUUCAUACUAAUCUACAGGAGCCAGACUUUGAAAAUCUCUGUCGAUGAUGAAAAUAUUCUAAUUUAUGCAAGGAACAAAUACAUUCCUCCUAAUGAGAUUGUUCUUGGAGCUAUGCUGCUUGUAUCACCACCUACUACUACAGAACACUCUAUGUCUCUAUCUCCAAUGGCAGUUGCUGGAAGUAAGUUUUGAGAAGCAUGCAUAAGGUUCAAGCUGGAGCAUUCACUGAGCGAGAGGCAUUUUCUUCACAGAUGUACUGCUGAUAGUCUUGAGCAUUAUAUAAUGCUAGUUAUCGUAUCUACUUGUGCUGAUGGAGCAUCAGAUACUUAUUGCAGAAAGUUAAAUUUGUUCAAGGAAGCUCUGAAGCUACUUGGAUGGGACAUAUGUCCUUCAAGAUCAUGUUCACGAUCACUAAAGCAGCUCGGGAGCACCUGUUCUUUGGAAAAUCUAGUUGGGGUUAAUUAUUGGCUUUAACGAAGCUCUAUUUUAUUACUAGGCUUCUACUUCCAGGGCAACUCAACUGACGAAGUUGGCCGUUAAACUCUGUUUUAUAUUGAACCGAUAGU